GUAAACUAAUCUACCUUCACUUCCCCUGGCCUUCGUAUAUGGAUCCACUUGAGAACGUCAUACAAGGGAGGUGGAGUCAUUACUCCGUAACCAGGCUGCCAUUUGGAAGAUUUUUAACCACUUUUCUUCUCAUGAUGGACUGACAAGUAAAUUAGUUGAUAUAAGUCUGAGACUCCUGGACAGUAAGCGUCAAUCUUAAAAGAAUUUGAAAUAGAGAAGAUGAAGGCAAUGUAACUCAAUGGUGAAGAUAAAACAGGAUAGUUGGAAGCACAAGAAGGUGAGAUUUCAGAUGUUUUAUUGAAAGUAAUGGUACACCUCAUAUCUUAAACCAAGUUGUUAUGGGUCAAAUUGUG
rnacentral:lncRNA from 1 species